GAUGAACGCUGGCGGCGUGCCUAAUACAUGCAAGUCGAGCGAACGGACGAGAAGCUUGCUUCUCUGAUGUUAGCGGCGGACGUGUGAGUAACACGUGGAUAACCUACCUAUAAGUCUGGGAUAACUUCGGGAAACCGUAGCUAAUACCGGAUAAUAUUUUGAACCGCAUUGUUCAAAAGUUAAAUACGGUCUUGCUGUCACUUAUAGAUGGAUCCGCGCUGCAUUAGCUAGUUGGUAAGGUAACGGCUUACCAAGGCAACGAUGCAUAGCCGACCUGAGAGGGAGAUAGGCCACACUGGAACUGAGACACGGACCAGACUACUACGGGAGGCAGCAGUAGGGAAUGUGCCGCAAUGGGCGAAAGCAUGACGGAGCAACGCCGCGUGAGUGAUGAAGGUCCUCGGAUCGUAAAACUCUGUUAUUAGGGAAGAACAUAUGUGUAAGUAAAUGUGAACAGAUUGACGGUACCUAAUCAGAAAGCCACGGCUAACUACGUG
rnacentral:rRNA from 1 species